GACAGAGGUGCCGAGCGUUAGGCGGGAAUCACUGGGCUUAAAGCGUGUGUAGGUGGAUGCCUAAGUACCUUGUGAAAUCCCACGGCUUAACCGUGGAACUGCUUGGUAUACUGGGUGUCUUGAGCCAGCUAGGGGCUACCGGAACAAAUGGUGGAGCGGUGAAAUGCGUAGAUAUCUGGAGGAACACCGGUGGCGAAGGCGACGUCCUGGACCGGCAUUGACGCUGAGGCGCGAAAGCUAGGGGAGCAAACGGG
rnacentral:rRNA from 1 species